AUUCUGCUGACGAGUCCCAAAUAAGAUGAAACGCGCUUACUGAAU
rnacentral:hammerhead_ribozyme from 1 species